rnacentral:rRNA from 2 species
AAAACAAAGAGUUUGAUCAUGGCUCAGGACGAACGCUGGCGGCGUGCCUAAUACAUGCAAGUCGAGCGAAUUUUUUGGGAGCUUGCUCCCUUAAGGUUAGCGGCGGACGGGUGAGUAACACGUGGGUAACCUGCCUGUAAGACUGGGAUAACUUCGGGAAACCGAGGCUAAUACCGGAUAGUUUCUUUCUCGCAUGAGAGAAGAUGGAAAGAUGGUUUCGGCUAUCACUUACAGAUGGACCCGCGGCGCAUUAGCUAGUUGGUGAGGUAACGGCUCACCAAGGCGACGAUGCGUAGCCGACCUGAGAGGGGUGACCGGGCCACACUGGGACUGAGACACGGCCCAGACUCCUACGGGAGGCAGCAGUAGGGAAUCUUCCGCAAUGGACGAAAGUCUGACGGAGCAACGCCGCGUGAGCGAAGAAGGCCUUGGGUCGUAAAGCUCUGUUGUUAGGGAAGAACAAGUACGAGAGUAACUGCUCGUACCUUGACGGUACCUAACCAGAAAGCCACGGCUAACUACGUG